rnacentral:rRNA from 1 species
GACGAACGCUGGCGGCGUGCCUAAUACAUGCAAGUAGAACGCUGAAGAGAGGAGCUUGCUCUUCUUGGAUGAGUUGCGAACGGGUGAGUAACGCGUAGGUAACCUGCCUUGUAGCGGGGGAUAACUAUUGGAAACGAUAGCUAAUACCGCAUAACAAUGGAUGACACAUGUCAUUUAUUUGAAAGGGGCAAUUGCUCCACUACAAGAUGGACCUGCGUUGUAUUAGCUAGUAGGUGAGGUAAUGGCUCACCUAGGCGACGAUACAUAGCCGACCUGAGAGGGUGAUCGGCCACACUGGGACUGAGACACGGCCCAGACUCCUACGGGAGGCAGCAGUAGGGAAUCUUCGGCAAUGGGGGCAACCCUGACCGAGCAACGCCGAGUGAGUGAAGAAGGUUUUCGGAUCGUAAAGCUCUGUUGUAAGUCAAGAACGGGUGUGAGAGUGGAAAGUUCACACUGUGACGGUAGCUUACCAGAAAGGGACGGCUAACUACGUG